AUGGUUAAGUUAGAAAGGGCGCACGGUGGAUGCCUUGGCACUAGGAGCCGAUGAAGGACGGGACGAACACCGAUAUGCUUCGGGGAGCUGUAAGCAAGCUUUGAUCCGGAGAUUUCCGAAUGGGGAAACCCACUGCUCGUAAUGGAGUAGUAUCCAUACUUGAAUACAUAGAGUAUGAGAAGGCAUACCCGGGGAACUGAAACAUCUAAGUACCCGGAGGAAGAGAAAGCAAAUGCGAUUCCCUGAGUAGCGGCGAGCGAAACGGGAACAGCCCAAACCAAGAGGCUUGCCUCUUGGGGUUGUAGGACACUCUAUACGGAGUUACAAAGGAACGAUAUAAGCGAAGAGGUCUGGAAAGGCCCGCCAAAGAAGGUAACAGCCCUGUAACUGAAAUGUUGUUCUCUCCAGAGUGGAUCCUGAGUACGGCGGAACACGUGAAAUUCCGUCGGAAUCCGGGAGGACCAUCUCCCAAGGCUAAAUACUCCCUAGUGACCGAUAGUGAACCAGUACCGUGAGGGAAAGGUGAAAAGCACCCCGGAAGGGGAGUGAAAUAGAUCCUGAAACCGUGUGCCUACAAGUAGUCAGAGCCCGUUAAAGGGUGAUGGCGUGCCUUUUGUAGAAUGAACCGGCGAGUUACGAUCCCGUGCAAGGUUAAGCAGAAGAUGCGGAGCCGCAGCGAAAGCGAGUCUGAAUAGGGCGCAUGAGUACGUGGUCGUAGACCCGAAACCAGGUGAUCUACCCAUGUCCAGGGUGAAGUUCAGGUAACACUGAAUGGAGGCCCGAACCCACGCACGUUGAAAAGUGCGGGGAUGAGGUGUGGGUAGGGGUGAAAUGCCAAUCGAACCUGGAGAUAGCUGGUUCUCUCCGAAAUAGCUUUAGGGCUAGCCUCAAGGUAAGAGUCUCGGAGGUAGAGCACUGAUUGGACUAGGGGCCCCUACCGGGUUACCGAAUUCAGUCAAACUCCGAAUGCCGAUGACUUAUCCUUGGGAGUCAGACUGCGAGUGAUAAGAUCCGUAGUCGAAAGGGAAACAGCCCAGACCGCCAGCUAAGGUCCCAAAGUAUACGUUAAGUGGAAAAGGAUGUGGAGUUGCUUAGACAACCAGGAUGUUGGCUUAGAAGCAGCCACCAUUUAAAGAGUGCGUAAUAGCUCACUGGUCGAGUGACUCUGCGCCGAAAAUGUACCGGGGCUAAACGUAUCACCGAAGCUGCGGACUGUUCUAACGAACAGUGGUAGGAGAGCGUUCUAAGUGCUGUGAAGUCAGACCGGAAGGACUGGUGGAGCGCUUAGAAGUGAGAAUGCCGGUAUGAGUAGCGAAAGACGGGUGAGAAUC
rnacentral:rRNA from 1 species